UACAAGUAGCCGCUGGCAGGAAGUUGUGUGCUUGGAGGGUAGUAACAGCCAAGAAUGGAUGAUUGAAGUUUUAAUAAUAUCUAAAACUUUAUCAGGCGCCUAAACCCUUGAGGGUUAAGAGGGAGAGUCUUAUGAGGGUGAUGGUUGAUGUUCUUUCUAUCUGCAUUCCUAGAUUACUAUGAAGAGGAUAAUGUGAAGUUAUUCUCGGAAGAUUAUGGCACUGCGAAAGGAAUGUAGCACUGGGCCAUAAAUUAACCGGAACAGGAAAGGCUUAUUCUCAACUCCAGUUUAUUAACUCAGCCAUAUGCAUAUGUAACCCUUUGUACCAAAAACUUGUACUGUGGAAUCUGGGAUGGAUGCAGUGUCCUACCUAUAAGCAAGCAGAAAUGAUUCCUGCAUUAACAACCUGACCUUGAAACUGGAAAUACGAGGGUAAACUUGAAACAUGUGAGGUGUGAGCCACUGGGCUAGAUCAUAGUUAAAGUCCCUGCUUUUCUACAGCAGGGUAUAAAAUAGUUCCCCAGGAAUGUGACUUCAGCAGAAAUUGCAUGUC
rnacentral:lncRNA from 1 species